rnacentral:rRNA from 1 species
GACGAACGCUGGCGGCGUGCUUAACACAUGCAAGUCGAACGGAAAGGCCCUGCUUUUGUGGGGUGCUCGAGUGGCGAACGGGUGAGUAACACGUGAGUAACCUGCCCUUGACUUUGGGAUAACUUCAGGAAACUGGGGCUAAUACCGGAUAGGAGCUCCUGCUGCAUGGUGGGGGUUGGAAAGUUUCGGCGGUUGGGGAUGGACUCGCGGCUUAUCAGCUUGUUGGUGGGGUAGUGGCUUACCAAGGCUUUGACGGGUAGCCGGCCUGAGAGGGUGACCGGCCACAUUGGGACUGAGAUACGGCCCAGACUCCUACGGGAGGCAGCAGUGGGGAGUAUUGCACAAUGGGCGGAAGCCUAAUGCGGCAACGCCGCGUGCGGGAUGACGGCCUUCGGGUUGUAAACCGCUUUCGCCUGUGACGAAGCGUGAGUGACGGUAAUGGGUAAAGAAGCACCGGCUAACUACGUG